rfam:Gorilla gorilla gorilla genomic chromosome, chr2B, whole genome shotgun sequence
CAGUGUUAAAGCUCUUUUAGAAUUUGUCUAGCAGGCAAAUAAAUAAAUAAAAUAAAAUAAAUAAUAUGCCUUU